AACUGAUACUACCUGCGGGAACCUGCGGAGGGAUCAUUAAUGAGAAGCUGCCCCUCGUGGGUAGACCUCCCACCCUCUGUGAACUUACCUUUGUUGCUUUGGCAGGCCCGUCCUCUGGACCGCCGGCUUCGGCUGGCCCGUGCCUGCCAGAGGAUUCCAAACCCUGUCUGUCAGUGUUGUCUGAGUCUAUAUGAAAUCGUUAAAACUUUCAGCAACGGAUCUCUAGAUCGGAAGAGCACA
rnacentral:misc_RNA from 1 species